AAAAGUGGGGUCAUUUUAGUUGUGCCGGCAUCGCCGUGAGAGAUUUCCUGCAGCUUGAAGGAAGGGAAAAAACUUACGACCACAAUGGGACCCAAAAGUUCUGUGGUUAAGCAAAACACUUCUUAAGUCUUUAACGGAUGUUUUUAUCAAGUGGGAUCCAUUCUAUGACUGUCUUGAUCCACCUGCCAUCAGUUCUUCUUGCUGUGUGACUAGCCCAUUUACUCUUUUGAUGAUAUUGUAUACUUUUGUUUGUUCUCUAAUCCAUGUGCAGGUCUUUCUAUCUUGUCUUGUAAUGCUGAGCAUGUAGCUUUCCAUGGCUCUUUGCGCUACUCAUAGCUUUUAUAUUUAUUGUGAACUGGUUAAAUAAGAUGGAUAAUUUCUAGUGGACAAAUCUGUAGGCCAGGGGUAUCAAACUGCCAAUACGCAGGCCGGAUGGGUCACACGAAAGUCACGUCCACCCCAGCUCCGGCAAAGGGAAAAAGUCACAAUACAUCGUGACACAUCAUGUGAUGCAGUGAGUUUGUCACCCCUGCAGAUCAGGACCAGCAUCCUUAGCAAUAAGAAUAUUUCAGCAGUGGAACUAAUUAUCAACUGAGCUGGCUCCCUUUCAUUGAACAUGUUCAAACUGAAGCUGGACAGGCGUCUGGGAUGUGCUGUCGAUAGCUGAUAGCCUAAAAUGGCAACUUCUAACUCUUAUUCUAUAAUUAAUGGAUUUUCAGAAUGUGCCCAACCAGAUGCUGCCAAUACACCCCCAAGUUGUACAUAAUGACAUGUCAUCAGUAGCAAAUUCCAAAUCAAACUUCCUACUAGAAUCUCUUUGAUGAAGUUUGGCAGCUUUUAAAACUGGUAGUAACUGCAAAUUUAAAUGCUUCCGCUCUAGUUUCAAUAGACCUUUGUUCGACUUACUAUGAGCUCGGACAGAACAGUAAGUACUGUUUACAUCACUUUGCAUGAAAUGUGCAAAGUUAUGUAAGAGCUUUCAGGCCUGAUUGAGUACAGCAAUGGAAGGCAGUACUGUAUGGAUGGGAUGAAUGCCAUUGAUUCACCUGAUUGCCAUUCUUGGUGAUCUGCAACACCUAAUCUUGUUACAGGAUGGGUCAUUUUUAAAGCUGUUUAAAGAUACAGGCAAUCCUUAUUUACUGAAUGUCUUGUGCACUAACUGUAUGACGUUACAACAGACCAUUAUAACCAUCACAGCAUUCUGUGGUCACAUGAAUUCCAUUCGCUUUGCAACCAGUUUGCAAUAAGCAGACUUAAUAAAGAAAAUGGAAGUAAAAUAAAUCACAAUCAUAUUUUUGCUUAGUAACCAUGGCAUUUUGCUUAAGCAAAGGAGAACUAAGGUCAUGAACUCACAUGAUUUUUUGCUUAGUACCAAGUUGUCAGUCCAAGUCAUGGUUACUAAGCAAGGAUUACCUCUAAGUUAAGUAAUCUUCUGUAAGCACAGAUAUUAGUGAUAUCUGAUCUUGGAAAGAAUCUUUCCUGCUUAUGCUAGCAUUAUUAUUUGCCUUGCAGGGCAGGAGGUGUUACUUUUACAUUACUCAAGUUGUAUUGAAUGCUUACUACUUCAUUCUCUGCUUGUAUUCACUCACAUACCAGUGCCACAUUUGCUUCCCAUCUUCUUAGGAGCUGCUCCUGUAUUUCAUCUGCAUCAGCUAACGGGGGCACCUGGAUCUGUUGAAUGAGAUAUUGCAAAGUUGUCUGCUUAUACCUGUUCCUCAAAGAAGAGAGGUUCUUUUUGCAUUUGUAAUAAACACAUGACAAUUCAAUGCCUCAUGUUAUCCUA